rnacentral:rRNA from 1 species
CCUACGGGAGGCAGCAGUAGGGAAUCUUCCGCAAUGGACGAAAGUCUGACGGAGCAACGCCGCGUGAGUGAUGAAGGUUUUCGGAUCGUAAAGCUCUGUUGUUAGGGAAGAACAAGUACCGUUCAAAUAGGGCGGCACCUUGACGGUACCUAACCAGAAAGCCACGGCUAACUACGUGCCAGCAGCCGCGGUAAU